rnacentral:piRNA from 1 species
CUUUUUAUCCAAACAUGAAGUCC